CAAUACGUACAUAAGGCCCAACAUUCUAUUCUGAGGAGGAAAGUCGAGCAACUUGCAGCUCAGAUGAGCACCGUGUGUACAUCAUGUUUUGCCCUGAUGGAGGGACCUUACAAUUUGAUUAAUUUCCCUCAUUAUUUGAGACGAGGCGACUAUGGGAAUACAAGGACAAAAACCUGGCUUAUUAUUUGUUUGAUCUCUAUUAACUUUUGUAUGAAUCUUUUUAUCGAUUUCUUUCAACUCAUUCUUUGUAAGUUCUCUUAUUUUUCCAUCUAUGAUAUAUGCAGCUUUGUGAUUUUCUAAAGUAGAUUAUAUGGAAAACAUAUUCUUAAGAAGUCUCGGUUGCCUCCUUGCGUCGAAUAGAUGUCUCCAGGCCAAGGACUAAAGAAGAAGAAGCAC